UGAGAUCAUGACCUGAGCGAAAGUCGGAUGCUUAACUGACUGAGCCACCCAGGCACCCCCCUAUAGUUUGAGUUUUAAUAAUCUGCCUUUUCUGGUCAAUUCCAUAGUCUGGCAGACCUUCUGAAUGUACCUGAUACUGCCUGGCUUUGUACUUUACAAUGUAAUUUUUUUUUCUCAUUGAAGUUUUAAAAUUUCUGUUGUUUGGCUUCUCAGAUGAAUUUUUAUUUUUUUGCAGGAAGAAUCUGGUUGAUAGUUUUGAAGUAUAUUUAAAUCAGUGCCAAUUGCUUCUAAAGAAGUCCUUUGAUAUACAAAUAUCUUUGUGUCAUUCUGACUGUUGGGCAGGCAAGGGCAGGUUUCCUGAGGGCUCAGAGUGCUGGGUGCCUUGGAGUUAUAUCUUUAUCUCUGGACCAUGCUAGUGGAAGAAAGAUGUCAAGGGGUUGUUACUUCUCUUGGUAGAUUUUUGUCCUUUUCGCCUUAUAGAAGAUUUAUCCUUAAAGAAUAACAACUUGGUCGAUAACAAGGUAAUUCUUCUCAAAUUCCAAAAUGCAAGACAAUACAGGUAAAUACCCGUAUUUACUUCACAUACACCUUAUUUACUUCACAGAGCAUAUUGGUUUGCUAGGACAGUCAUAACAAAAUACCACAGGCUGGGUGACUUAAACAAUAGAAAUUCAUUUUCUCACAGUUCUGGAACCUAGAAGUCUACAGUCACAUGUCAUCAGGCUUGGUUUCUUUUGAGGCCUUUGUUCUUGGCUUGUAGACGGCCUCCUUCUCACAGUGUCCUCACAUGGCCCUUCCUCUGUGCACAUCCCUGCUGUCUCUUUGUGCAUCCAAAAUUUACUUUUCUUGUAAGGACAAGAGUCAUAUUGGAUUAGAGCCUACCCUAAUGGCCUCGUUUUAGCUUAAUCACCAUUUUAAAAGCCCUAACUCCAAAUUCAGUCACAUUCUGAGGUACUGGGGAUGAAAGCUUCAAUAUAUGAAUUUUGGAGGACACAAUUCACAGGGUGACACAGGGUGAGAUAUCUCUUUAAGGGAGAAAAAGUAACAAUUGAUCUCGUGGUCUAAAUCUCUGCAUUCUAGAGACUCCAGAAGCUUACAUUUGGGUGACAUUGUAACACCUUAGACACAAGAAAUUAAUUUAGACUAUAACAAUCAAAAGAUGAGCAAAAGGAAUCAGGGCUCUGUAAACUUUUAUCUUGUUCUCGUAUUGCAGAGGAGAGUGCCUUAGCGUUACUAACAAACCGUGGAGGGAGAAAGGGAGUUGGGGGGUAGGAUUCAAAAGAGCCAAAAGUGAAGGGGAAACUGUCAUGUCAGCUGGAGAAAGAGAGGGAAGAAAAGAGAAGAAAAGAGAAGAAAGAAAGAUGAGAGAGAGAGAAAAAAAGAGAGAAGGAGAGGAGAAAAAUUAAGAUAGAAGAAGUGGUGGGGGGAAGAAGAGGAGAGAGAAAAGGGAAAGGAAAAAGGAGUGAUCAAAGGAGAAACAGAGAAAAGAAGAAAUAGCCUGUAUUUACAAUGGGUUGAGAAAGAGAGUUCACGCACUUCGUUCUCUUAGAAGACUCACCUCCCUCAAAGAGGGUGAAAAGCGAGUAGAUCGGAUAUACACACACAGGAGCAGAAAGUAAAGGAUGGCCCUGGAGAGGAAGGGCUUGGGUGUUGAGGUUGGGUGUAGAUAGCCGAGGACCAUCCAACAUUAAUGAGCACAAAUGUGUGCACAGGCUGAAAAUCUCUCUCUAGGGAUUCUGAUGACUCAAGCUUUGUUGGUGCCAUUGGAAACCAUGAAUGGAAAAUAACUGACUCGCUCUCUGAGGCAAUCUGGCUUAUAGGCCUGAAGCUCUUACUUGCUGCCAGGCCAUCCGUCUCCCCUGUGCCCCUGUGAGAUAUUCCUGAAACUGAACCACGUACAGUCUUCUUUGCCAAAGUGCUUGGCAUUGGCGUUUCCCUUUCCCAUAAUUCUGAGCUGGGGAUAGACUGGUUAAUGUGAGCAUGUCUCGUGGAUGUGCAGUUUAGGGAGAACUGUGGAAAAGUGUGUCAUGCCCACCUAGGGGCACACGCACAGAGGAUAUUUCCUCUCACUGCCCUCUGUGGGCAUGACCAUUUUCUUGAAGGCCUUUGCCCUUCUGGCUUUACGAUAUCUGAGCCUCUUCUUUGAACCUUAGUGAUGAGCCUCAAGCUAAGCUAUAGCUCUCCUCGGAAAUAAAUUUAUUUUCCUCCCCUCCCCAUGAUAAACAAAUUAUGUUGACAGACAAAUGCAGGAUUAGGUGGGGAGAUUUGUGAGGCAGUGGGAUUCUGGAGGCUUGAGCAAGCAGAUGUCAGGAUUAGGUUGAGAGGGAAGGAUUCAGGUGGGGCGGGAGGCUCCAGGGAUAAAUCCACGGUGGUAAUGAGGCCACGACUGAGAUGAGGCAGGGAGGUGAGGUAGAGGGAGAAGCAGGUUCAAGAUGCCACAGAAGAGUUCUCUGUUCAGAGCUACCCUUGGAUUUCCAAACUUUCAAAUAAGGCUGCUUGGCUUCAGACAAGACAUCUGGGUUACCAGAGCCUCCAUUUUACCUUCUGUGCAGUGGGCAUACUACUUACCCUACUUACCUCACAGGUUGGCUUUGAAAACACAAUCAUGUGGGAAGAAUGUCUAAAGUGCCAUUAAACAUAUUAUUAUUACUUUUUUUUUUUUUAAUGUUGCUCUACCCAUAAAGGGAUUUCUUUUCUAUAGCAUCUGCUUUAGAGUAUUUCUAGUGGUGGGGAGCUUACCAGCUUACCACUGCCUUUAUGGGAGGUCAUUUCUUUUACAUUUAUUUACAAUUUUUAGGAAAAAUUCUGUUAAGCCCAAAUUUGCCUAAUUAGUAAUUGUAACAACAAGCUAACAUUCAUGUAGUGCACACUAUGCUCUGCAGCUAGCCCAUUCUAGGUACUAUACGUAUACAUAUAUAUGUAGGGGUGUGUGUGUGUGUGUGUGUUUAGGUUACAUUUAUUCUUUUCAGUAACCCUGUAAGGUGGGUCCUAUGAUUAUUCCAGUUUUACAUAGAAGAAAACUGAGGCAUAGAUAAGUUAAGAGACUUAUCGCAGGUCACAUGGCUGUCAUUUUUACUCUUUGAUCCAUGGUUUUCUGUCCAUAGUCAGCUCAUAGUACUGGAAGACUUUAUUUUGCCCUUUCUGUGUCCUCCCUUUGCCAGGCUUCCCUCCACUCUCCCUUGCUGUCUUCUGCAUGUGCCUCCUCUCUUAAAGUGUUGUUCCCAAAACCCUCUAAGGGUUUUUUGACAGAUACAGAGAAGAACUGCAUUGCUGGGUCUCCUGGGGCUGGCUGCUGCUGUUCUCCUAGGAGCUUUGGGGAGGGGGCACUAUACGGAAGAAAGAAUGUUUUCAAGCCGGCACCACUGGAAAAUGGAUAGUAUGUGCUGGUCCACUGGCCCCAGCUGCCGGAUGAUGGGGAUUGGGAUCAGCUGUGACCUAAUUAUGGUCUCAUAAACCUGCAUUGUGUCCUUCAUUUUCCAGCUCAUUGACCACCCAGAGGGGGAGGGAAAAUGGAUGGGAUUCUGGUCAAGUCCUUCCUGCCACUACCAUGUGGCCAAGGUCACAGGCCAAUGAUGUCCAGAGGGAGUUUAGGGAAAAAGGAGAAGAGACACCUACUAUGUGUUGGACACCUACUAUGUGUCAUGCUUUACACCUAUUAUCUGGGAUAAUUUCAUUGUGCAAGAAGCAAAGCUUCUGCCGUACUGUGACAAAAACUACAAAUCUUAGAGCUUGCUUAGUGACACUGGCACUGUUCUAGGCCCCAAGGAUUCAGCAAUGAAGAGGACAGGAAAGGUUCUUUCCUUCAUGCUGAUUAUACACUAAAUGUGGAGACAAGCAAUGAAAAAUAAGAAGAUACAUGCAUAUGGUAAUGCCACAUAGUAGUAGAGCUAUGAAAAUUUAAAGCAAGGAAAUGUGAUAAAAUGUGACUGGAAAGAUUAAACAACACUUUAGGGAGGGAAGCCAGAGAUGGACACUUAGAGUAGGUGAUGCUAUUUAAGCUGAAAUUUGAAUGAAAAGCAGGAGGCAUUCAUAUUAAUGAUUAGAACAAAGGCUCUAAGGUGGGAAUGAGCUUCAUAGGGUCAAGGAGAAGCACAUAGGCCGGUAGGUUGGUGCAUGAAGGAAAUGGGAUGGGAGAUCAGACUACCCUGUAGGUUAUUUGGAAAUAUUAAAUUAAAUCAAUUAAACCAAUUAAGUCAGAAUCUCUGAGAUGGGGUCCAGUCCACAGUAUAUACUAACACCUCUCGAAGUGAUUCUAAUGAGUAGCAAAGGUUGAGAAGCACUGUAUCAGAGAGAAGAACCAAAAGAAGAAGAGUUUCUUUUUGAGCAGGUAGAAGAUGUUGAAGGAAUGGGAUGGAGUAGGAGUGAUGUGAAGAUUGUAAUCCUGCAGGAGUAUCCUGGGGUUGGAUGGAUUAUUGUCCUUGACCUGGUGGUCAAUGGAGUCCAGAGUGGCCUGUUCCAAGGGCAAGGUCCCUAGGUUCUUUAGUUAGUGUCCUUUGCCUGUUUGCUGAAAUGGUUUGUGUCAAUUAUGGCAGAAGUCAAAGAGUUAAGUUUUAGUUUACUUAUUUUCUGCAGUUCACAGAGAUCCAACCCUCUGAGCUAGAGAUAAGGCAGAUGGUCCUGAGCUGGAAAAAACUUGCCCAGAUAACCUCUCCUUCUUGAAGAGGAUUUAAACUGAGGAUUUAAAAAUCAGUUUAAAUAAUAAUGGCCUAUAACAUAGUUCUACAUGCAGAAAUUUUUUUUCUAUGAAAACUAGAUGUUGCCUUAAAUCAGUCUGUAUAAAAAAGUGGGGGGAUUCGCUAACAGGAGUAGAAGCUGAAGAUCCUAUAAAGGAAAAAGACUGGCUUCAGUUACAGAUGGGGUGUGAGAUGGAUGGAAAGCUGCCACCAUGGCUGGAGAGGAUGAGAUUCAUACAAGACAGAGCUCAAAAGAGGAGGCUCUUGAGCUUAGAGACAAUUUGAGACACGAAAAUGAUUGUGUGUGAUUAGAAGGAAUAGAAUAAGAAAAGAUAUACACAAUAUAGAUGGAGAUCUCAUCUCUUUAAAAUCCUGAAUAAGAACAUCAAGUGAGGUAGCAUAGCUAAUAACCAGGGCUCUAGACUCCAAAUUGAAUGAAUUCUUUAAACACUUUAACCCUCAGUUUCCUCACUUAUAAAAUGGGAAUAAUAGUACCUAAGUCAUCAGUCACUGUGAAAAUUAAUGAUAAAAUGCAUGUAAAAGGUGUGGCACAAUGCCUGGCACUUAGUAAGAGCCUUUAAAUAUCAGCU